AUGUUCACCGACAUGGAUGGUGAGCAGCUGUGUUUGCUGCUUGCACCAGUGUUCAGGGAGUAUCUGUCACCGCACUUGAAACAGAGCCCGUGUGCUCUUCUGUGGUCGUGCAAUUGCCGUUCGCGCGUGAAGUCGUCCGCCCCCGCGGUCGGUCGAGGGGCGGCCAGCUGUCGCGCCGGUGGUGGCGCCGGCUGCGGCGGUGGUCUUCCCGGAGGAGUGAUGCGUGGCUGCGCCCGAUGCAUCUCCGUUUCUUCCUCUUGGAUCCUGGCGAGCACCGAGGCACGCGUGAUGCUGGUGGGCGCCUAUAGACGUACUACAGCCCGCAAAUCAUCCCGGAGGCCGAGCAAAAACUGCAUGAUGAAGAACUUGGUGCUCAAGGUUGCGUCCAGAGCCAACAGGUGGUACAUGUGCGCCUCGAACGCGAGCCGAUAG
rnacentral:rRNA from 1 species